UACAGAAGCAUAGAUUUCCACA
rnacentral:miRNA from 1 species